AUUGAACGCUGGCGGCAUGCCUUACACAUGCAAGUCGAACGGCAGCGGGCCUUCGGGUGCCGGCGAGUGGCGAACGGGUGAAUAAUGCAUCGGAACGUGCCAUUGAGUGGGGGAUAACGUAGCGAAAGUUGCGCUAAUACCGCAUAUUCUGUGAGCAGGAAAGCAGGGGACCGCAAGGCCUUGCGCUCUUUGAGCGGCCGAUGUCAGAUUAGCUAGUUGGUGAGGUAAAGGCUUACCAAGGCGACGAUCUGUAGCGGGUCUGAGAGGAUGAUCCGCCACACUGGAACUGAGACACGGUCCAGACUCCUACGGGAGGCAGCAGUGGGGAAUUUUGGACAAUGGGGGCAACCCUGAUCCAGCCAUGCCGCGUGAGUGAAGAAGGCCUCGGUU
rnacentral:rRNA from 1 species